CUACGGGUUGCAGCGGUGAGGAAUAUUGGACAAUGGAGGCAACUCUGAUCCAGCCAUGCCGCGUGCAGGAAGACGGCCCUAUGGGUUGUAAACUGCUUUUAUACAGGAAGAAUGGUACCUACGUGUAGGUAUUUGACGGUACUGUACGAAUAAGGAUCGGCUAACUCCGUGCCAGCAGCCGCGGUAAUACGGAGGAUCCGAGCGUUAUCCGGAAUCAUUGGGUUUAAAGGGUCCGUAGGCGGUUUUUUAAGUCAGAGGUGAAAUCCUGCAGCUCAACUGUAGCAUUGCCUUUGAUACUGAAAGACUUGAGUUAUUGUGAAGUAGUUAGAAUGUGUAGUGUAGCGGUGAAAUGCAUAGAUAUUACACAGAAUACCGAUUGCGAAAGCAGAUUACUAAUAAUAUACUGACGCUCAGGGACGAAAGCGUGGGUAGCGAACAGGAUUAGAUACCCCUGUAGUC
rnacentral:rRNA from 1 species